rnacentral:lncRNA from 1 species
GCAGCCAUGAGAUGCAUAAACCAACAUAUCAUGCAUCACUUUAUCUGAAUCUUGACAACAAAACAGCAUAUAAAAAAAAACUAUUAUCUGAAUCUUGCUUCCUAAAGAAAGCUGGGCCAAUCAGUAACAUAUGUUUCUUCUCUUUUCCAAUCCAGUAGGGAGUAAAAAUCGACAACAGCUCUCUGAAAACUGAGCAGAAACAAAAGGCAUAAUAGUUGCUGGUUAAAGAUGUUGAAGCCAAUGUAGUGCCUGUACAAAAUCAACAGUGUGAGACAAUGACCAACAGGUAGUGGAUUUGCCUUAUUAUCCUGCAGAUACUAAAUAAAAAUAGUAGAAUGGACGGUUGGUGUGCUAAAUAGAAUACGAUAGAGAUAUGAUACCAUGAAUGACUCCAUUUAGUCUGCUUAUUAUACAGAAUCAUGUAGUAAUACCUCAGGAGCAUCCAUCUGAAGCAAGAAUUAACUAAAUGUGGUGUGACUUUGAAGGCUGGAACUCCAGAAGAAUUUUGUAUUGUGAGGUCAUUGAAUUAUUUUUAUUUGAAGAAACAAGAGUAGGUCGAAAGAAGUUUAUGCAAGCAAUUACAGCAAACAAGCACAUCAAGCAAACAGAACUUUCAGUCGUCAAGUAACAGUAAGUCCCUGUUAGCUGAACUCCUCAAUGCUAUAAACAGCCAGCUUACACACCAAGUUUUGUUAAGAAGAAUUCAUGUAUCAAGUUAGUGCAAUAGGUUGAUCAAAGAUUACAUGCAAGACUAGAUUGCAAGAACUUCAGAUGGUAUUAUGCUCCUACUAAAACGCAUUAAAAAAACUGCAUUAGACAUUGCACGGAAAAAGUAGAUAAGUGCAUCAUACAGACAACUGCGAAAAAGUGUAAUUCAGGAUUUGGUACGAUAAAAUUCCAAAGGAGAGGUCAACAAGGUCUGCACCUUUGAGUAAUAUGACCAAAGUUAAGCAUGUUAUAUAGCAAAUACCAGUAGGCCUUCCUCUUGUGCAGUAUCAGAUCGAUCAGAAUUAUCUACAUGAAUAUGUCUCCAUUAUUGACUACGUCGCAACAGUACCAUUACAGAAAACUGAAGUACACUCGAAGCAAAAUAGGCUAAAAAAUUCUCACGGUUAGCAUCAGCGGGUAUGAUAAAGCAUGCUGUUGGGGCAUCGUUAGGAUCAUAAUGACGACACCUUUAAUGAUGCCCAAGACUCAAAUGAGCUAGACCGAGAGUUAUCUAGAAUACGGAGUUAUUGGUGCGUUAAAAUUCUGCAGAUGGAAUAGUUCAAGCAGACCGAUUGCUACAUGUUCAUGCCGCCGAGAGUUUCUGAACCCAUAAUUAGCUCAUAUGUAUUUGUUUCUACUGGGGAUAACUCAUCAAUGUGGGAGGAAAGCAGCAGCCUACCAUGAAUUCGCACUCGAUGUAGGGGUGAGCUACCGCCUUGCAGUGCUCCCGGGAGAAAGAAGAAAGAAAGAAAUCCCGGCGUCAGACGGACAAUUUCACGGAGUACGGCGAGAAGAUCCUGUAAUGUCUCGUCUACGCAUUUCAUCGAACGGAUGUUGCCAGGCGAGACUGAACUAAGAGAGAGGGCGUCUCCCGGCCGCAGUUCACGCAGACGAAACCCCGCCGAAGGUCAUCCGUGCUCUCCCAGGAUUCGCCUACGGCGUCGGCGGUGGCGGCGAUGGCAGCGGGGGCGUUCGCUCUUCGGACUUGUUGGGGCGAGCGUGCGCACCGACUCGACCGCAAGCGCGAGGAAUAGACAUCUCGGGACUUCUUCUACCAGCGCAGGGUGUGCAUCGUCCGUGCGAUGCAG